AAUACAAUAGCUGUUCAGCCAAAGACAGCAGGUGCCGAUACGGCGUAAGUUUUCGCCUGCCGAGGAAUGGACAUUCAAGUAGCAUUAUGUUAUUUUGAUGUUUUACGUGCAUUCCGAGGUUCUCGGAGUGCACUUUUUUGUUAUAGCU
rfam:Eubacterium sp. CAG:251 genomic scaffold, scf81